UACGUAGGGUGCGAGCGUUGUCCGGGAUUACUGGGCGUAAAGAGCUCGUAGGUGGUUUGUCGCGUUGUUCGUGAAAACUCACAACUCAAUUGUGGGCGUGCGGGCGAUACGGGCAGACUGGAGUACUGCAGGGGAGACUGGAAUUCCUGGUGUAGCGGUGGAAUGCGCAGAUAUCAGGAGGAACACCGGUGGCGAAGGCGGGUCUCUGGGCAGUAACUGACGCUGAGGAGCGAAAGCGUGGGGAGCGAACAGG
rnacentral:rRNA from 1 species